UACGUAGGGUGCGAGCGUUAAUCGGAAUUGCUGGGCGUAAAGCGUGCGCAGGCGGUGAUGUAAGACAGUUGUGAAAUCCCCGGGCUCAACCUGGGAAUUGCAUCUGUGACUGCAUCGCUAGAGUACGGUAGAGGGGGAUGGAAUUCCGCGUGUAGCAGUGAAAUGCGUAGAUAUGCGGAGGAACACCGAUGGCGGAAGGCAAUCCCCUGGACCCUGUACUGACGCUCAUGCACCGAAAGCGUGGGGAGCAAACAGG
rnacentral:rRNA from 1 species